rnacentral:rRNA from 1 species
UGGGGAAUUUUGGACAAUGGGGGAAACCCUGAUCCAGCCAUCCCGCGUGUGCGAUGAAGGCCUUCGGGUUGUAAAGCACUUUUUGCAGGAAAGAAACGUCAUGGGUUAAUACCCCGUGAAACUGACGGUACCUGCAGAAUAAGCACCGGCUAACUACGUGCCAGCAGCCGCGGUAAUACGUAGGGUGCAAGCGUUAAUCGGAAUUACUGGGCGUAAAGCGUUCGCAGGCGGUUCGGAAAGAAAGAUGUGAAAUCCCAGAGCUCAACUUUGGAACUGCAUUUUUAACUACCGGGCUAGAGUGUGUCAGAGGGAGGUGGAAUUCCGCGUGUAGCAGUGAAAUGCGUAGAUAUGCGGAGGAACACCGAUGGCGAAGGCAGCCUCCUGGGAUAACACUGACGCUAAUGCACGAAAGCGUGGGGAACAAACAGG